GACGAACGCUGGCGGCGUGACUAAUACAUGCAAGUCGACCUUAGAGGCCAACGGGUCAGUAACACGCGGGUAACCUGCCCAUCAGAAGGGGAUUACUCUUCGACCAGGGUGCUAAUACCGUAACCUGCUGGACUGACCCGCGGUGCAUUAGCUAGGUGGUGAGGUAACGGCUCACCAAGGACACGAUGCAUAGCCGACCUUAGAGGGUGAUCGGCAACAUUGGGACUGAGACACGGCCCAAACUCCUACGGGAGGCAGCAGUAGGGAAUCUUCGGCAAUAGACGAAAGCCUGACCGAGCAACGCCGCGUGAGUGAAGAAGGUUUUCGGAUCGUAAAACUCUGUUGUUAGAGAAGCGGUAUCUAACCAGAAAGCCACGGCUAACUACGUGCCAGCAGCCGCGGUAAUAC
rnacentral:rRNA from 1 species